rnacentral:rRNA from 1 species
CCUGGUGCUGAUGGCGGUGUGGCCCCACUCCGACCCAUCCCGAACUCGGUUGUGAAACACAUCAGCGGCGAAGAUACUUAGGGGGUUGCCCCUUGGGAAAAUAGCUCAGUGCCAGGN